UACGUAGAAGACGAGUGUUAUUCAUCUUUAACAGGUUUAAAGGGUACCUAGACGGAAAAUCAAGCCAUAGUAGGGACUUAAUUUCUAGUAGUUUAUAGGUGAAUACGAUUACCUAGGAGUCGAUGGAAUGCAUUGAUAACAGGUAAGACGGAUAGCAGCGAAGGCAAUCUUCUAUGUAAUAAGCUGACGUUGACGGUACGGAAGC
rnacentral:rRNA from 1 species